GUUGGCCCUGAGCUGGAGUGUCUGAGCUUCUUGGGGAAGGAUCCUUACUUGUGUGAGCUGUUCCUGUGGGUUUUAGUCUUCUAUUUUCUAUCCCAGCAGAGAAGGAGCCAGCAGAAAGGAGAGUGACAAUAAACAAGUUCAUCAACAAAGCAAGUCAUAAGGCCACUCCUGAUAUCAACAGAGAAGGAAUGUGAAAUCCUCUAUCAGGGAGCAGUGCCCCAGGGAAGGACAACAACUAUUUUGAACACGAAUACAAUCUCCCAUUCUCACUUUGGAGACCUGUCACUGACAUCACCAAACUGUCUUAGAAGGAGCACCGUCUGUAGACCUCAAGUCUCAAGAUUUCACAAGAUUCUGCCAGGGCAGCAGAGACCUGCUCAUUUUCUCAGCUGUGCCGCCAUAUUGAGUUGAGCUCCUCUGACACUGACAGAUGGCACUGGUGUCCUAGAGACCCCCUGAGGUGAGUCAAGGUGUUAUUCCUGGUCUUUGUAAUUCCUAGGCUGUGUGAUCCCAAUACCUUAAGAGGCAAACCUCACCCCUUGCCCAGCCCCUGGGACAAGGUAAGUAGAAAAGCUUCUCCACCAGAGGCCGCAUUUGUGUCAGUGAAGGACGCUAUACUCUGAGUCACUUCUUUUUACAGCCUGUCAGAGGCCAAAUUCGAUCAUUUUGAAGGAAUACAUUAUGACCCAUCUGUCCAUUCACAUAAAUCACUGACCUUCCUUUUUUUUUUUUUUUUUUUUGCCCUAGCAGGAGGGUGUUCAAAACAGUUGUCUCUGUGAUAAAUCUUUACCAGUUUAGUACUAUAAAUGUUGUGCUUGAUGUUUUAUGCUAUGAUUAUUUCUCUAUUGAAAUGUGUA
rnacentral:lncRNA from 1 species